rnacentral:lncRNA from 1 species
UGGGCAUCAGCGGGCCUCCCAUCUGGGCCCGCAUUUUCGAACCGCCCCCGAGGUGGCUUUGAAGCAGGGAACCCCGACUUUAAGCGGCCAGGUGUGGAAGCCUGCCAGAUGCAGACCGAGGCGAUCCGCGGCGCCCUCUACUGGUCACCAAUAGAAAUGUAUCUCUACAGCCUCUUGGGGAAGCUUUGCAAGUAAUUGGGUCAUGGAAAGAAAGACUGAAUAAACACUAAGGCUUGUGUACUAGACAUGACUGGAAAAUCUGAGAACACCUAACCUUGAACAUUUGGAAAGGAGCUAGAAUAGAAGGAGCACCGGACUGUUCAACCAAUGCCUACGCAACUCUUCUUGGUUUCCCUGUAAGGUCAAAUCAUCACUGCAGGGCUCAGCAUCAAAGCAUUGUUCACCUUCCUUAGUGAACUUACAGACUGAGCAAUAUGAGUGACAGGCACAAGGAGGGAAGGAGAAUGCCUUUUGGUUAUUGUGCAUGUGACCAGGGGGCCAGAGAGAGGUGAACAGGUACAGAAUUAGAAUUCUGAAAAUAAUUAAGGAGUCAUUUAGAAGACUCUACCUCCAAAUGUCUUGGAAAUAUAAGUGGUCCUGAGGGAUGCAGUUUCUCAGGCAGAUCUGAACACUAAAUAAUAUAGCCACAUCUGCAGAAAGUGCUAUGCCUGGAGGUAAAGACCCCGCUUCCUCUAA